rnacentral:rRNA from 1 species
CCUACGGGAGGCAGCAGUGAGGAAUAUUGGUCAAUGGCCGUAAGGCUGAACCAGCCAAGUCGCGUGAAGGAAGAAGGAUCUAUGGUUUGUAAACUUCUUUUAUAAAGGAAUAAAGUUAUCCACGUGUGGAUAUUUGCAUGUACCCUAUGAAUAAGCAUCGGCUAACUCCGUGCCAGCAGCCGCGGUAAUACGGAGGAUGCGAGCGUUAUCCGGAUUUAUUGGGUUUAAAGGGAGCGUAGAUUGUUUUUUAAGUCAGCGGUGAAAGUUUGUGGCUCAACCAUAAAAUUGCAGUUGAUACUGGAAGACUUGAGUGUAGUUGAGGUAGGCGGAAUUCGUGGUGUAGCGGUGAAAUGCAUAGAUAUCACGCAGAACUCCGAUUGCGAAGGCAGCCUACUAAGCUACAACUGACACUGAAGCACGAAAGCGUGGGGAUCAAACAGGAUUAGAUACCCGUGUAGUC